GCAGCACACCACUAUCCGGGCUUAUUAGAAAAUUCAUAAGUGAGAAGAAAUUCUGCGAAUCCGGGAGAAGAAAGAGGGAAUUGUAUUAAGAACAUCAAUUUGAACACUCUUCUCCUCAGUCUGGAGUCAUUAGCCCUACAGCAUUAAUGGCACCCAUAAUUCAAGCAGGGAAUGUUGGUGGACACCCAUCCGCAAAGCACAUGGUGAAGUAUCGUUUGCAUGCAAGGACAAGAAAAUGGGCAUAUUCAAGCUGGAAAGAAAUGUUACACAACAUCUGGUCCAAUCCCUUCCUUUCCCUGCACUGAUUUAUAAUAAGGAGCUGGAUCAGCCUGCCUGGUGUGACUGUCAGCUUGCCACUUCCUUGCUAUUUGACAUUGGACAGGUUACUUAACCUCUGUGUGUUUUCUCAGCUAUAAAAUGAGGAUGUUGUAGGGAUUAAAUAAUACAUGUAAAGAGCGUACAAGUAGUAAAUUCUCAAUAA